AGUGAACGCUGGCGGCGUGCUUAACACAUGCAAGUCGAACGAGAACGGAUUAUAGCUUGCUAUAAUUGUCAGCUAAGUGGCGCACGGGUGAGUAAUGUAUAGAUAACCUGCCCUCUAAGAAAGGAAUAACAGUUGGAAACGACUGCUAAUGCCCUAUAUGCCUUUAAUACAUAAGUAUGCAAGGGAAACGCUUUAGUGCUAGAGGAUGGGUCUGUAUGGUAUCAGCUUGUUGGUGAGGUAAUGGCUCACCAAGGCUAUGACGCCUAACUGGUUUGAGAGGAUGAUCAGUCACACUGGAACUGAGACACGGUCCAGACUCCUACGGGAGGCAGCAGUGGGGAAUAUUGCACAAUGGACGAAAGUCUGAUGCAGCAACGCCGCGUGGAGGAUGACACAUUUCGGUGCGUAAACUCCUUUUAUAUAGGAAGAUAAUGACGGUACUAUAUGAAUAAGCACCGGCUAACUCCGUG
rnacentral:rRNA from 1 species